GCUCCGGUGGCCCAGUGGUAACUCUCCCGCUUGCAAUGUGGGUGACCUGGGUCCGAAUCCCGCCAUUGGCGCC